UUUUCUCCCUGAACAGCAGCAGAUGCAGAGAGUCCUAGAGGUCCCAGCUGACCCAGCGGUGUCCUGUAGUCUCUGGGAUGUGUUGUGACAGAGGCUGUAACGCCAGGAAGACUAUCCACUCUUCACCUGUCACCUCGCCCCCGAAUGCAGCCGCGGCUACUACCGCCACCCUGCCGCGUCUGGGCUCUGACAGGAAGUGUUUGACCGGAGGAACAGGUCUCAACAUCAACACUGGCACGCAUCCUAAAGAAACAACAUAUUCAAAUGAAGCAAAUUUAUCGAGUGUCUUUCGAGUGCAAUUCUGAAAGGGUGAAACGACUGAGGCACGAUUAUGUAGAGCGAGUUUUACGAAUGGAUGGAGAGGAGAUCCAGCAUGAGUUCAUUUACGUAGAUGAGGCUGGGUUCAACCUGAUGAGAACACGAAGGAGGGGAAGAAACAUCAUUGACCACAGGGCUAUAGUCAAUGUCCCAGGGCAACGUGGGGGUAAUGCAACCAUUACACAGAAUGGGGUCCUCCACCGCCAUGCCCAUAUGGGCCCUUAC
ensembl:lncRNA